CAACACAUUGGAAUAUUUUUCAGAACUUUUAUUUUAGAAGAUAGGAAAUAACUGAGUGUAUUAUGAGCAGGAGUUAGAGGAAUAGACUCAGUACAGAAGAGACAGGAACAAAAGUACACCUCCGAUUGAUGAGAAAGGACAUAAAUCAAGAGCUCAGGAAAAAUAGGAGAAGGAGAAGGAAGCUCUAUUCCAGAAGCAGUGUGGAGCACAGAGAACCCCUAAUCAGUGACAUUAAGAAAGAAGAAAAAUAUUCGUAGGCUGAUCCUGGAGACCAAAUGUCAUCAGCAGUCACUUGACUUUCCUUGGAUUUCUCAAAUGCAGGAGUGACAUGGUCUGCUGAAAAUGAAUGCUCUUCAUUUUCAUCUGAUUUCAAGGAAUUAUGGUUUUCAGUGAUUUCUUCAUUUCGAUCUAUUUUGAGACAAAGUAAUACCAUUAAAACCCCCUUCUGAAUAAA